rnacentral:rRNA from 1 species
UACAGAGGUCUCAAGCGUUGUUCGGAUUCAUUGGGCGUAAAGGGCGCGUAGGUGGCGCCGUAAGUCAGGUGUGAAAUUUCGGAGCUUAACUCCGAAACUGCAUUUGAUACUGCGGUGCUUGAGGACUGGAGAGGAGACUGGAAUUCACGGUGUAGCAGUGAAAUGCGUAGAUAUCGUGAGGAAGACCAGUGGCGAAGGCGGGUCUCUGGACAGUUCCUGACACUGAGGCACGAAGGCCAGGGGAGCAAACGGG